GCCGCCAUAGCUCAAUUGGCAGAGCACCUGAUUUGUAAUCUGGAGGUUACCGGUUCAAUUCCGGUUGGCGGCU
rnacentral:tRNA from 1 species